AACGAACGCUGGCGGCAUGCCUAACACAUGCAAGUCGAACGAGACCUUCGGGUCUAGUGGCGCACGGGUGCGUAACGCGUGGGAAUCUGCCCUUAGGUACGGAAUAACUCAGGGAAACUUGAGCUAAUACCGUAUAAUGACUCCGGUCCAAAGAUUUAUCGCCUAGGGAUGAGCCCGCGUCGGAUUAGCUAGUUGGUGAGGUAAAAGCUCACCAAGGCGACGAUCCGUAGCUGGCUGAGAGGAUGAUCAGCCACACUGGGACUGAGACACGGCCCAGACUCCUACGGGAGGCAGCAGUGGGGAAUAUUGGACAAUGGGCGAAAGCCUGAUCCAGCAAUGCCGCGUGAGUGAUGAAGGCCUUAGGGUUGUAAAGCUCUUUUACCCGGGAUGAUAAUGACAGUACCGGGAGAAUAAGCCCCGCUAACUCCGUGCCAGCAGCCGCCGUAAU
rnacentral:rRNA from 1 species